rnacentral:rRNA from 1 species
AGCAUAUCAAUAAGCGGAGGAAAAGAAACUAACAAGGAUUCCCCUAGUAACUGCGAGUGAAGCGGGAAAAGCUCAAAUUUAAAAUCUGGCAGUCUUUGGCUGUCCGAGUUGUAAUCUAGAGAAGUGUUAUCCGCGCUGGACCGUGUACAAGUCUCCUGGAAUGGAGCGUCAUAGAGGGUGAGAAUCCCGUCUUUGACACGGACUGCCAGGGCUUUGUGAUGCGCUCUCAAAGAGUCGAGUUGUUUGGGAAUGCAGCUCAAAAUGGGUGGUAAAUUCCAUCUAAAGCUAAAUAUUGGCGAGAGACCGAUAGCGAACAAGUACCGUGAGGGAAAGAUGAAAAGAACUUUGGAAAGAGAGUUAAACAGUACGUGAAAUUGCUGAAAGGGAAACGCUUGAAGUCAGUCGCGUUGUCCAGGGAUCAACCUUGCUUUUGCUUGGUGCACUUUCUGGUUGACGGGUCAGCAUCAAUUUUGACUAUUGGAAAAAGAUUAGGGGAAUGUGACAUCUUCGGAUGUGUUAUAGCCCUUGGUUGUAUACAAUGGUUGGGAUUGAGGAACUCAGCACGCCGCAAGGCCGGGUUUUUAACCACGUACGUGCUUAGGAUGCUGGCAUAAUGGCUUUAAUCGACCCGUCUUGAAACACGGACCAAGGAGUCUAACAUGCCUGCGAGUGUUUGGGUGGAAAACCCGAGCGCGUAAUGAAAGUGAAAGUUGAGAUCCCUGUCGUGGGGAGCAUCGACGCCCGGACCAGACCUUUUGUGACGGCUCCGCGGUAGAGCAUGUAUGUUGGGACCCGAAAGAUGGUGAACUAUGCCUGAAUAGGGUGAAGCCAGAGGAAACUCUGGUGGAGGCUCGUAGCGAUUCUGACGUGCAAAUCGAUCGUCAAAUUUGGGUAUAGGGGCGAAAGACUAAUCGAACCAUCUAGUAGCUG